ensembl:lncRNA
GUUUUACAGUUCAACACACUUUAUACUUCUAGCUUCAAGGAGAAACUACUUAGAUGGGUUAAUCUCAAGGAACAGGGGUUGACUCCAAAGAGAGGUCUUUGCCUCAGAUCUUGAGUUCACUUUCCUUAAUCAAGCAUCUCAUGAAAACUUCAAGUCUUUCUCUGCUUCACAACAAAGAAUACCUCUGCCACCGUCUAAGCCGGGUGGAGCAAAAUGAGAGCGCAGUGAGCCGGCCCAGCCUCUCUCCC